AGAAAAUAAGAAGGUUACCCAGCGGCCCACACAGCAGCUUCUUCCCUCCUUGUCCUCCUCAGAACAGGACUGAGACAACCAUUCUGUGCCCCAGAAGCAAGUGGGAACCUUAUGAAAGAAUUGUGCAGGAUACCUAAGCUUAGUUUAUCCGAGAGGGAGGAACCACGCCCCAGGAGCCAAAGAACCUCACCCAUGCCUGGACCUGAGUUAGAUGAUGACCACCUGAGCAUGAUGCUGUACCAUGAGAACACCAGGGGUCACAGGAGGGGCUGAAUGUGUUUUGUCUAUAGUCAGAGGGCAGGCAAAUUCUCACACAAUAAAGAUGACUGUAAGUUCUUUGGCAAUCUCCUCAUUGAGUUAGGGGGUGUUGGUCUCUUCCCCUUGAAUCUGAAUGGGCUCUCUGACUGCCUUGGCACAUAGAAUAUGGAUGAAGUGAUUAAGUGCCAGUUUCUGGGCCUAAGCCUUAAAUAAAUAAUGGUUCCACUUUCUGUAUCUUAGAAUACUUACCGUUGGAGUCUUGACUCUCCCUGUAAGCAGUUCGGCUGUGGGGAGGUCCUGAGAUAGGGAGAAGAGCACAGCUGAAUCUAACCUUCCAACAAUUCCUGCGAAGGCCGGGCAUCUGAGUGAAUCCAUUUGGGGCCCAUCAGCUGAAUGCCACCAAAAUGACUCCAGCCAACACCACAGGGAGCAGAAGAACUUCAUAACUGAACCCUGACUACAUCUCUGACCCACAACAGAAUCAUAAAAUGUCAUAAAAUGUUUUGAUUUUUAGCCACUUAGAUUUUAGCCACUUUGGGGUCAUUUAUUGGCCUGUCAUAGAUCACGGGAACGUUUCCGUGUGAGACAUCUCAUGCUGCAGCUGGUGGGACACAGAGAAAAAGCAUUCAUAUCAUUUUAAUACGGAAAAGAAGAACUGCUGUUUCCCUUGCUCUUGGGGUGAAGUUGGCCUCAGGGGCAGGUAUUGUCUGUUCCCCAUACAAUACAUUUUUCCAGCACCACAUUUACUGGAUUUGUAAGCUUUAUGAAUUUUGGAGUUCAGUAACUGGAGGCUAUAGAUAUAAUAUAGAUAAUAAUACUCUACAUUUUCCUCCCAAGCUUUAUUAAUAAAGAUUGUUAUGUUUUGGUCACUCCUUGUCUUCUCAUAUCUUUGGAAUUCAGAUGGAGCCAUGGGGGGAUAUUUUUUCAUCCCUCUCUAAAGUAGUUCUGCCAAGCCCAAUUUCCAGAAUUUUAAUGCAAUCAGAUUGGUUUUAUUUGCUUAUAGUGAAAUGCAGAGGAAAGAGCUGAUUUUUUUUGUCACAUUCCAUUAACCAAUGUAAAUAACUUUUCCAUAUGCUCACUGAACAAUUUAAAUGCAUUUCUGCAGUCAACCUGCCUUUAAUCUUUUUGCAACAUAUCUGUUAACUGGGCAGUUGAGCUCUCCAUGGCACCUCUCCCUCCUUAUGGUUAGAGAGUGAGGAAAAUUAUAGAACUUCAACCCUUACAGUUAAUCUGUAAAAUUUUUAAUGCUCAUUUUUUUUUAGAUUUUUAUUUAUUUAUUUGUCAGAGAAAGAGAGAGAGAGAGAGCACAAGCAGGGGAGCAGCAGAGGGAGAGGGAGAAGCAGGCUCCUCACUAAGCAAGGGAGCCCGAUGUAGGACUCGAUCCCAGGACCCUGGGAUCAUGACCCGAGCCGAAGGCAGACGCUUAACGAUUGAGCCACUCAGGUGUCCCAGGCUCAUUUAAUUUAAACCAUAAAAAAAAUCCCAUUUAAUCAUACGCUAUAUACAUAAACAGAUAGGUUUAAAAUCUGGUCUUAAGAAGUCUUGGGAAAUCACUUGCUUUAAAGCUGUUCUAAGAAUUUGUAUAUUCUACUUAUUGUUGACUUCCGGUGUCUUCUCUGAGCUGGCCAUCUGUGAAGCCGUCUCUUGGCCUUCUUUCCUCACAACUAACUCUGGUCAUUGCAAGCCACACAACCUAGAAAACUUCAAAUCCAUUUUAAUUUUCUCAGGUGGAGUAAGAUUACAAAAGCUCUGUUUAUCUCCCUAGCCACCUUUCAUUUCUUCGCAUUUCAUUCAGGGAGACAAAGCAGUCUCCUCCCACCUUCUUCCUAAACCCAUCCUGUUUAUUCACAGCGACAGUCAUGCAGAUCCAGCCUUGUUAUUCUCAAGCUAACUCCAAACAUCUAAGUGGUUUUAGGCUCCCCAAUAUUUCCGAUAGCUAUUAAAUAAGAAUCUAGAUGUAAGAAAGUGUAGAAUAUAAGGUAUCCCUUAAAUAAGAAUCUGGAUUCUCUAGCUGUUUUGUGAUUCAAUCAGAGUUCUACAUCCCUCAGUAGACUGGAUUAUUUUGGGAUUCCAUCCAAAGGGACAACUGUGUACUGACAAGAUGUCCCCUUUCUCUGGCCUCCUCAGUACUAAUAAAGGAGGGCUCCAAAGGUCUGUGAUGUUCUGGUGAAAGCCUCACCAUUCUCUCUCCCUCUACCUUCAGUCCUGGUACCCACAGCUUCCCCA
ensembl:lncRNA